rnacentral:tmRNA from 1 species
GGGGAUGUUCCGGUUUCGACAGGCUUUAUUCGGCUCCCCGAUGCGCUAGGAAGGUUGCGACUACCUAAAAACGCUACAGUUAAAUAUAACUGCAAACAAAACAAACAAUUUAGCUUUAGCAGCCUAAAAACUGCGAGUUAAGAUCAGUCCGGUAUCGCCCAUGUACCGGGGCACUGGUCUCAAAUUAGUGGGAUACGAAUAACUAUUCCGUCUGCAUAGUUAUUAAGAGACGAUCAGACUCGCGACCAUUGAUGCACGUUUAUCUGCUAGAUGGAAGCCAAAUUAAAUCGAUAAACUAUUAGCGUAGAUUCGGUUAGUACGAGAGGUUUGGACAGGGGUUCGAUUCCCCUCAUCUCCAUUA